CGGCUGGCUCGCUUCUCGUUCGCCCCCUUCGUUCCCUUCUCUCUGUCUCUCCUCCCCCAUCCCCCUCAAUCCGAAUCUUCCCCCGGAACCCAAUCCAUGGCGCCGCAGCGCUCGCUGCCCUCGGCCUCCUCACGCCGCCGCCGCUCGUCCUCCACGACUUCCCCCGCGUGCGUUCUCCUCUUCCUCUCCUCUGCGCCACGCCGGCUUCCGAUCCCGCGCCUCCAACCCCUGAUCCAUCGACGCUGCCGGAAUGCCCUUCGGCGGAGAGAAGGCCCAGGGCGACACCGGCCCCCAAUCCCAUGCGUCGAGCCCCUGCUUCGUGCAUGGUGCUGGAGCACCCUUCAGCGCCGAGGAGGCGCAGCGCGACAAGGCCGCCGCCGGCGUCGGUGCUCCCUGGCGCGACACGACCUCCGCCGGCGUCGGUUCUCCAAGCACAUCCACUCCGACGACGCCCAGGUCCUCUCUAGUUGUUGUUUGUUCCGUUUGUCGAAGCUUCGGCCAGCCUGCUGUUCGUUGCCGUGUCGAGAUGUUGCAAGGUUAAAAUGGCAUGGACGAGUACUCAUUUAUUCAUGGAGCUAGCGCAGAGCAUCCUUUUUUGAUAGAGGGAUUUGGGCAUCAAUCCUUGGCCUUGCUCCUGAUUAUGUAUGGGAAGUGGGAGUGCUAAUUAGGCAUUGGAUGUAUACUUUGCCUAUGAAGAUUAGUGGAACUGCUCAAAUUUACCUCAAAUAUAGUUACAAGGUUACAUUCUUCUUCACUUAUAUAUGCUCUUUUUUAUGCACUCUUGUUUCAUUUAUGGAUUUGGUGUAUCCUCAAGUAUGUAAAUCCACAAGGUAUAUAAUUGGUACAGGAUUAAGCACAAAUUAUUGAGAGCUGAUGCUGAACAAUGCACUUGAACUUUGAGCGAUCUGUCAGCCAUUGUUCAAAUAACAUCUUUAUGUGCUUAGGAUUAGGAGGAUAUAUAUGAACCCAACUUCGACACAGGUUUUGCAUUGGCUGCAUAGGCCGCUGCCCCGUUUAUUAAGUUUGCUAUCCAUCUUACUCACAUUGUUGGUUGUGGCUGCCAUCAUCAUUAUAUUACAGGUUCUUCAUUUCCUUCUGUUGUGCCACCCUGCAUUCUUAACUAUAUGCUCUUUAUGGAAAUCAUAGGUUAAUGAAAAAGGCUAUCUCAUUGCAGGAGACAUGUUCAUUUUUUUUGAAGGAUAAACUCUUCAUGCCCCAACUACAACAAGAGGAGAUAGCUCAAGAUGCACUUUUGGUAUUGUUCUGCAAUCUGUUUACACAUCCGGGACUGCUGUUGUUGUUGCUUGUGGUUGUCUCAUGAUCUUGGCUGUUGGUGGCUGGUACCAGCUCAGGUGCUACUCUAUUCUUGUCGCUUCCUUCAUGCCUUUCUAUACGCACGCACGCUCGAUCUUUUUUCUUUUGUAUGAUGUUAUCCUAGGAUAUUGUUGUUGGAACUGCUGUUAUUGUUGCUACGGGUUGCUCAUGAGCUUAGUUACAUUUUUAGGUUGCCCUGCUGGAUGCCAUUUUUAGGUUGUUGUGUACCUACGGAUAGUUCGUUGUUCUGCAAUACCAUAUUUAGUCUCACUUUGUUUACAUGAUUGCUGCUACAUUCCGGAAACAAUGGUCUGUUGGUUGCAGAAUUAUAGUGGCUAGCUGGGACAACUAAUUCAUUUCUUGGUCUUGAUCAAAGAUAACUGGAUUAUUGCCCUGCUUUAUCCAGAAAUAUGAGACGAAGGGAGCCACCGGCGCUCUCAGCGGUUAGCGCAUUUUGACCAUUGGAUCAAUUUGCUUGAUGGGUUUCUGGGCGUCCGAUCGAGCGGUGGAAGGACGUCGGCUGUCGGAUCGAAUCCCCCUCCCUUGUAGCAUGGUUGAUCCCGUUUGGCUUGCCCCGUUGAUUACUCCUUCCGUUGACCGGUUGUCGCUGACCUGGGGGGUCCCGGCGGGUGGGCCGCGCCCGUCAGCGAGCGGGUGUGCGGGUGCAGCCUGUGCGUUCAGUCGUGCGCGCGCCUGCGGUAAAUAUCUCGUGCCACCGCACGUAAAUCUUGCCCCCCGCCGAGGGCUUUUUCGUCAUUUCCUGUCCAGGCCGCGUGCGUGGUGGACGGUGGUUGGCUCCGUGCGGCUAUGUGGUGGGGGAGGGCGGCUGGCUCGCUUCUCGUUCGCCCCCUUUGUUCCCUUCUCUCUGUCUCUCCUCCCCGUCCCCCCCAAUCUGAAUCAUCCUUGGCCGCUUUGGUGCCAUUGGCAUUCAUGCUCGUCGGUGGGAUGGUGCAAGGCGCAACUCAGACAUGGUUCCUCACCGGUUGGACGGCGUUCAGGCGAAACCCCGGUGCCCACUGAGUACUGCCUUGGCUACAACCUCCCUCGGUGAGCUCCAUCUUCCCCUGCUCUGCUUAGGCUAUUGUAUGGGACAUGGCCAGGCUAUGAUGAUCAGUUAUGGAUGAUAUAGGCAUGCUCUCGAGUAAUCGAGGCACUUGUGGGUGUUAAUUUGGAUCCUCCGUCGUUUCUUUGAACUGUUUUGAUCAUGUUCUCAUUUUAGUGACUCUGUCCUUGGAUGGUCAUUUCUGAUGAGUGAUAACCAAGGCAGUUUCACCCUCGUAAGAACAUAUUGAUCUGGUGAUCCAUCCAGAAAUAAGACCCGCGACAAGUUCCCUGGCUCCUCGGAUCUCAGGCACUUUUGGCCGUCGGAUCGAUUUCCUGAUGCGAUUCUGGCCGUCGGAUCUCGAUCCGGAUUGAUCUCGGCCGUUGGAUCGAGCCCGAGCUCCUAUAGCAAUGAAUAGUUACUCCCGCGGUGAGAUAUCUCGUGCCACCGCGUUUGAAUCACGUGCCCCGUCGGUCGGAAGCCAUUCUUGCUAGGGCGAUGAUGAUUAGCCAUGGCUGAAAUAAGUGUGCCUUUGAGCAAUCGAGGCACCUGUGGGUAUCAAGUUGGAUCCUUCCUUGUCUAUAGAAUCCUUUUUGAUCCUGUGAUACUUAUUGUUCUGUCCUUGGAUGGUCAUUCUUGUUGAGUGAUAACCAGGGCAGCUCCACUGUAUAAACAGAUUGAUCUGGCGAUAGGAGAUGAUGGGGGUAGAUUAUAUGAUCGAGGAAAGGCGAAUCUGAGCCCACUAUGCAUGGAACCCCGAACCCUUUUUAUUUGUAUUUAAAGGUGUUGCUUAUUUAUGCUCCAGUGUUUAUAGUCGUCUUAUGUAAAUAUUUCUUCUCUCUCAUACCUUUGUUGCAUAUACGUUGUUCUUGAUCUUUUAUUGUUUGUUGUUGGUCCUUGAUCUAAUCUGGUUAAGAGUAAGUUGCACUUUGUUAUUCUGGGAUAAGCGAUGGUUCGCAAUGCUAUUGGUUCUUCAUGAGUUCAGAGGAGGAUUUCUGAUAUGAGUCAUGCCAGUAAGCUUUCUUGCAGGUACCCACACUUCUCUCUUCCUCCUGAUUAGCCUGUUCUCUUUUCUAUACGUGUCUACAAGUUGUGUGUCUACAAGCUGUGAAUUACAUAUUGCAGGGAUUUAUUUAUUUUCUUUCCGGAGCCGCGCCGCCGCCCUGUGACCAGAAGCAUUGGGGAUCUCGAGAGGGAAUUUUGCAGUUGUGGCCAUUUUAAAAAUAGACCUCUGUGAAAUCUAUGUACUCCUGAUACUAUUAUAUCAUGCUACAUUUCCUGUGAUAUAUCAAAUAUCUAUCCUUUGUCCUAAACAAGAGGCCUUACGUUUAUACUGAGCAAUACUAAUUUGGUCAGUAUAUAAUAUUGCAAUGCUUAUAACCCUUUGGUCAGUGACCCAUCUGAAUUGAGAUGCAUCAUAAUUAUCUUAAUAUUAUUUGUUCUGUUUCUUACUCACUGAUCCAUUCCACACAACAAGUAUUCUUCCUGAGAACUAUGCUCAGAUAGUUGAAUAUAUUAUUUUGUACUUAAUUGUUGAAAGAUGGAUUUGUAUUACUAAUGCUGAGAUGGGCAUUACAAUUUUCUUUCAAGGGAACAGACCAAACCAAACUGCGACUUUAUUUGUAAAUAUUUGAAAUUUAUAUUAUGUAUCUUAUGUGAUCUCAGAGGACUUAAUUUUUGUGUGGGGACCUCAAGCUACCUUUAGUGACUUACAAGCUAUCAACCAACAAGAGUUUUCCCUGCUUUUGGAGCCUGCUAAGCUAUCAACAAACAAAGAGGUACUAUGCUGAGACUGAAGAGGAGGCUAGCCAGCGGCCCAUCUCUCUUGCCGUCACCGCUGAGCCGCCAUGUCUCCUUCAGAGGCUUAUUGUAUUGCUACAUGUUUAUGCUUCUUAUCCACUCACCCAUUGUAGUGUAGGUCUGUUGCGGCAAUUGAAUGCUUCAAAGGAUUUUAAUGGAGUUCAUUGUGGCUGAGUCGUGAAUCUCCAGCUUGCUUCCAUGUCUUUUCUCACUAGAGACACCUCCUGCCGGCGAUGGCGAUGACCGCUACCCUGCUCCUCUCCCGGCAAAGGCAUGUCUACCUCUCCUGUGAAGUUGGCCAUGUUUGCCUCUUCCUUCAGUUUUUCCUCUGUUUUUUGUUACACGACUUUGUGGUGCUUAGUGUAUAUAUCAUUCCCCCCUGUCCAUUGAUUGAACAACUCUGCUACAUGUGAUUGCAUUAGCAAACUCCAUUUUUGUUUAUGUAGAAAAACAAAGGAGGCUCCAUUUUUAUGUAUGUGGAAAAAACAAAGGAAACUGCAUUUUUGUGUAAUUACAAACAAAUGAAACUCCAUUUUUGUGUAAUUACAAACAAAUGAAACUCCUUUUUUGUGUAAUUACAAACAAGAGACUUUUAGACGGCGAAGACUGCUGCCCUGAUCCUAAGAGCCUACUGACAUUUCACCAAAUCUUGUUAUAAUUUUUUUAUCAGCAGCAGAUACUUUUAAAUUUGUCUUUACAAUUCCAAGUACAUGAGCAUACUGAUCCUUCUAUUUUUGAUGUAGCAGAACAAACGUUCGUAAUUUAUACACCUAGGCUCAGCUUCUCUAUAUUGAUACGAAGGCCUGGAGCGUUUCUUUGUUCCACGCCUUACAAAAACGAGCAAGGCUUAUAUAAUAUUUCUGGUUCCCUUCUACUGUGUGCAAACAGAACUUGGCGGCGCAAUAGCAGCUCAACUACUAUUGUUAUUAAUCAGGAUAAAUGCUUCUGCCUGGCUGGCACACAUGCUUAGGCACAACAGUCUGCUCCAGCACCGCAGGGCAAGGCGCGCUGCAGGUCAUUUAUAUAGCAUCUCCUCAUUUGUAUAUUAUUCACAUAUAGCAUCUCAUUUCUUGGUUGAUUGCUUACAUGUAUUCAACUUCUGCCUCUUUCGCUCCUAAGCUGGCCUCCCUCUCCUCGGUGCUCAGCGGGAGAAGCAUGAGGUGAUGCACCUUUGACCCCGUAGUGCUCGGCUCCAAUUCAUCAGGGAGGCCACUGGCAAGCAUCAAGCUGCCCUUGGUGCUUCCUCGUCAUCAAGGAGGAGGUCGGGUAGCACCGUCCUCAAGGACAGGCACAACCGCGACACCGCAGAGAUGGACGAGAUUGUGGUGCUGCUCCUUCUUGUGGUGUAUGCAUCAGCGUGGGCAAUGCUAUUUGAAGACCAUUCAAGUGAUUUAAAGGAGAAGAUGUCCAGACUGUAAGGAGGUUGAAGAUGACGAUCAAAAGAUUGACAUAUUAAGCGACUGCCAAGAAGCCAAUAAUGCUUGCCCCCUGCCAUUAGUAAUACCCUUGCUUCUUUAUGAAAUCUUUCCUAACUAUCGUUGCAGAUUGUGAGAUCCCUAUUUAAAUACAUUACUCAGCAGCUGGCCGGUACAGAGUUGCGUGGCAGGCAUAUGUGUUCUCAGCCACCUUAUCAAUUGUAGGCUUAGAAUGAUUUGCUUCGUCCAAGUGUUGUUUGUCAACAAUUCCUUUGUUUGUCCAUGUCAAUUCUGAUUUUAGAGGAUACAUAUGUUUUGGUAGGAAGUGUAUUGUUCUUAUGUUUUUUCCUGGUAUGUACUGACUGAUGCAGUAACUGAUGCUUCAGAUUAUGAAAUCCCUAUUAAAUGAAUCGCUCGGUAAUUGUUUGUA